UACGUAGGGGGCAAGCGUUGUCCGGAAUCAUUGGGCGUAAAGCGCGUGUAGGCGGCCAGAAAAGUCCGCUGUGAAAACUCGAGGCUCAACUUCGAGCUGCCGGUGGAAACUUUCUGGCUAGAGUCCGGAAGAGGAGAAUGGAAUUCCUGGUGUAGCGGUGAAAUGCGCAGAUAUCAGGAAGAACACCCGUGGCGAAGGCAGUGUUCUGGGCCAGUACUGACGCUGAGGAGCGAAAGCGUGGGGAGCAAACAGG
rnacentral:rRNA from 1 species